UAAGACUUAAGAAGAAUCCAUUCCACAGAGAGACAUGUAAAUGGAUAUGGGAUAAAGUAGAAGAUGUAGCUGUUUUCAGCUAUUUUGUUCUGCCUUCAUUACAAAUCACCGUUCUGAUCUUUUCGUAUGGACUUGAAAGACAAGCGAGUCCUAUCAUCAUGCUUAUCCCACUGUUGUGUUUUCUGUCGUUUUCCUGUUUGCGUGGCCUAAACAAAGAGAAAAAUUGUCCAAAUUUACUCAGUAAAAUCUCAUGGAUAAUCUUCAUGACUGUAACGAUUGCAGCAGUGGUCUUUUUAUGCA